CCUACGGGAGGCUGCAGUGAGGAAUAUUGGUCAAUGGACGAGAGUCUGAACCAGCCAAGUAGCGUGAAGGAUGACUGCCCUAUGGUUUGUAAACUUCUUUUAUAUGGGAAUAAAACGUUCCACGUGUGGGAUUUUGUAUGUACCAUAUGAAUAAGGAUCGGCUAACUCCGUGCCAGCAGCCGCGGUAAUACGGAGGGUCCGAGCGUUAUCCGGAUUUAUUGGGUUUAAAGGGAGCGUAGGUGGAUUGUUAAGUCAGUUGUGAAAGUUUGCGGCUCAACCGUAAAAUUGCAGUUGAAACUGGCAGUCUUGAGUACAGUAGAGGUGGGCGGAAUUCGUGGUGUAGCGGUGAAAUGCUUAGAUAUCACGAAGAAUUCCGAUUGCGAAGGCAGUUCACUGGACUGCAACUGACACUGAGGCUCGAAAGUGUGGGUAUCAAACAGGAUUAGAUACCCGUGUAAUC
rnacentral:rRNA from 1 species